CAGUCGCCACGGUAAUACGAGGGGGGCAAGCGUUGUUCGGAAUUAUUGGGCGUAAAGGGUGCGUAGGCGGUUUGACAAGUCUUGUGUGAAAUCUCUGGGCUCAACCCAGAGUCUGCACGGGAAACUGUCGGGCUAGAGGAUGGGAGAGGUGAGUGGAAUUUCCGGUGUAGCGGUGAAAUGCGUAGAUAUCGGAAGGAACACCUGUGGCGAAAGCGGCUCACUGGACCAUUUCUGACGCUGAUGCACGAAAGCUAGGGGAGCAAACAGGAUUAGAUACCCCCGUAGUCCCUGUCUCUUAUAC
rnacentral:rRNA from 1 species